GUCAGUUAGGCCCUGAUAGCACUCCGGCAGGUUAGGCUCUGGUUAACUAGCUUCCCCUGGGUGCAGGCCUUGUUAAGUGGAACAGCGCAUUCUGGCCUAUUUAAAAGUGGUUCCUUUCCCCCUCCCCCUGCCAGGGCAAAGUGAAUUUUCACGCCGUUUACUACAGGAACGUGGUCGAGCUCCUGGAGGUAUAGGUAACCUCAGUACACAGACAGAUUAUGUGACCUCUCAGUCUGUGGCAAUCCUGGAGAACCUUCUGCAGAUUACACAGACAAUUAAAUGACCAAAUGGAGCAACAGUGUACGGCACAUGGUCUCCAAAAUGGUAGCUGAAGCUGAUCUAGGGGAUAACACCCUCUUUCUACAACUCCUUCUUCCAAGAUGAGUCAACAGUCGCCCAGGAAAGCAAUGUCCAACCUCAUUUUCAUGAAUAACAGGGGGAAGUCAGAAAUUCAAAGCCUGAGAAGGAUUCGCUACAUCACUGCUGGCUAGAAGUUGGAGGGGGCGCCUUCUGGAGCUGAGUGUGUCCCCCACUCCUCAGCUGACAAACAGUAAAGAAACUAGGGACCCUGUAAUACUGUCCCAAAGAACUGAAUUCUGCUAUCAACACAAAUGAGCUUGAAGUGGUAUUUCCCCAGAGCCUCUCGCAAACACUUGGAUAGCUGACUUGUAAUAUCCUUAAGCAGUGAAUCCAGUAAUGCCAUGCCACACUUUUGAUCUACAGAACUGUGAGCUAAUAAAUGGAUGCUGUUUUAAGCUGCUAAAUUUGUGGUAUUUGUAACACAGCAAUAAAAAACUAAAAUAGUAUCUUAUUUUUUAAUGCUAUAAUAUAGUAUUUGUAUUUUUUCAUUUUGAUACAUAUAUUUCAGCUAUGUUACUCUUAAUGGUUUCAUACUAUCUUUUGUAAGUUUCAAUGAGGUUUUUUCUUAUGAUUAGUUUCUGUAAGUGGCAUUACUGGAUAGAGCUACAUGUAUAAAAAUUUUAAGGUUUUCUGUUCAAAUUUCCAUAAUUGGUGCAAAAAAAUGUUCUUACGGUUUACAUCUGUAUCAGAAUUUGAACAAGUUCAUUUUUUUUCUACUUGUCAACAGUGUGACACAGUUUUUUCAAUCUGGUAGUUAAAAAAAUGGUGUUUCUCUUCUUUAACUUUUAUUUCUUUGAUUGUUAAAAACAUAUUUCAUACAUAGAUUUAGCUAUUUAAUGUCUCACUGAUUUGUUUCAGCUGUUCGUUUUUCUGCUCGUGUGAUUAAUUUUUAAAAUGUAUUUGUAAAGCUGUUUAUCCCCUAGGAGUAACAUUUACCUUUUCUCUGUCACAUAUGUUGGAAAUAUUCCAGUGUGCAAUUUGCCUUUAACAUUUAUUCUGGUAUUUUUUUAAUCAUAAGAACAUUUUAAAUAAUUUCUAGUGAAAACUGUAUAUCAAUCUUUCCUAUAAGGUUUUUUACUUUUGGAGCGCUUCCUAUUCAUAAUUUAGUUAAAAAAAAUUGUUAUAUUGAAUUUCUUGCAAAAAAACCUUACCAAAUUCUACCCUUUUUUAUGCCUCAAUAUUUUAAUUUAUUUAGUUUCACCAACUGCAGAUGAAAGAUGUGUGUCCAGGAGUUAAAAUAACUAUUAUGGUUUUAGUAAGAAGAGAAAUUUUUAAACUGAUAAGAGUUUUCAUUUUUAUAAUCUUGUUAUGCUUGCAAGAGUAACUUUGGGGUUGCUGAAAGUCUUUUUGUUUUUUUAAGAUAGCAUUUUUAUCAUGAAGCAAACCGGUUGACUGACAGUCAAGGCUUCUUACAGGAUCAAGUAAAGUUUUAAAAAUGUGUGUUUAGUGUUAAAUUAGCUUGCUAUGAAAAAUGAAGUGCUUGCCAAUUUCUCUCAUGAUGCCCUCCUCCAAAAUAACCAUCUGAAUCCAGUAAUACAUAAAAAAGGUAAUAUGUCACAACAAACUGAGUCUGUUUCACGAAGGGGACGUUGGUUUAAUGUCUGAAAAUGAAUCGAUGUAAUUUACUACACUUACACAACAAAGGAGAAAAAUCAUACAGUAAAUAUAAACAUAAAAUCAUUUGAUAAAGUUCAACUCUCAUUUCUUAGCAGACUAGGAAAAGAAAAGAAUACUUUUAAUCUGAAAAACUAUGUACAAAAAUCCUUUGGAAAACACCAUACAUAAUAGUGAAAUUUCAAAAAAAUUUCCUCUGAGACUGGGAACAAUAGAAGGAUGCCCUCUCCUGCCACUUCUAUUCAGCAUGGUACUGGGAGUCAUAGCUCCUAGUAGACAAGAAAAACAAUGAAAAAGUAUAAGGGAUGGGAAGGAACAAAUACAAUCAACAUUAUUCACAGGUGAAUGUGAUUAGGUAAGUAGAAAGUCCGAAGAACCUAUACAUACACUAUUGAAACUAAAAGCUAAUUUAGCAGACAAAUAUACAUCAUUUUAUAUUUAUAUUCCAGCUACAAACAGGUAGAAAAUAAAAUUUAAAAUAACAUUUUUUUUUUACACAAGUCAGAUAUUUAUUUAUAUCACCAGGUGUAGAUUUAAGGCCCUGUAGGAAACCCUAUGUCUUUCAAUGAACCAGAGAAACUGCUCUAUGGACAUUGUGUUAAUUCAUAUCCAUUUAACUGGUCACAGGGAUUGGAUGGUCUCCCUCCUUCCAGUUCUCCCUUUCAUCCUUCCUCCCUUCCGCCCAUCCUUCUGUCCAUCCAUCCUUCCUUCUGUCCUUCCAUCCUUCUGCCCACGCUUCCUCCCUUCCUUCCUUCUCCUAGUCUCCACCCCCAACUCUCUUUCUCUUUUUUGUUUUUGUUUGUUUGUUUGUUUUUUAAUUUUUUUAUUUUUUAUUGAGUUAAUGAUAGGUUACAAUCUUGUGAAAUUUCAGUUGUGUAUUAAUGUUUGUCAUUCGUGUUGUAGGUGCACCACUUCACCCUUUGUGCCCACCCCCCACCCCACCUUUCCCCUGGUAUCCACUAAACUGUUCUUAGUCCAUAUUUUUAAAUUCCUCAUAUGAGUGGAGUCAUACACAGAUUAUCCUUCUCUAGCUGG
rnacentral:lncRNA from 1 species